AAAGAUUAAACUAGUUGGCAUUUAGACUACUCUUCUAUGCUAUUUUCUUUGUUUUCCGUUCAAUGUAUUAUACUAUUAUCCUUUCUUGGAAAUUGCUUAGUGUUAAGGUCUGGAUUUUACAUAGAGCACUAGUUGUCAUCCCACGAGUUGGGUUGAGACAAAUGUAAAAUCAAGUUAUGUCUCCCUCUCCCUCUUCCUCUCACUCACGCGCACACCCACAGACACACAACCACAUUAACCCUCACACUCAAACUCGGUACUUAAAAUUUGGAUAUGAAUUUGGUUUACUUUCAACUCUUUUCACUUUCUCAAGUUUCUUUCCUUGCAUGAGUUAAAGUGCUUAAAAUCCAAUUUUCUGGAAUUUUCUUCUUGGUGCAUUGACAAAUGCUGGUUCUUUUAGUAGCUAGGGCAAUCAUUCAAUUCUGUCUUGAAUUAUAAUCUUUCAUAGUAUGUUUGCUUAACUUACAUAAAUGUUGUCAUCCUUGAUUCAAAUAGCAACAAUUGCUAAUGCGUCAUUAUCGUUUUGUGCAGGUGAGAUCUUCUGGACUCUCCAGUGGUAGGGAGAUGAUUGUUGAUUCUUUAACUACUGAGCAACUUGUAGCCAUUUUAGAAGAAGAUUUUAUAGAGUUGGACGAUCUUGUUUUCCCACUUCCAAUACCCGGAAGUGGGAAAACAAGAUCGUCCAACUCUAUAAAAUCUUCUUCUAAAAUGGCUACAAGUUGCUCAGCAGUUAAAGAAUGAUACAUGUCAACCGUGAGGUUGAUUGUGUCGUGGCUGGAUUGAUCUGCCCAAUUAAGGUAGUUGCUUGAUAUGCAUCCUAUGACCUUUACUAUUUUCAUGAAGCAAAUAGUUAUUAAAUUGUAAUUUUAUUUUGCAGAUAUGAUCUUGUGCCUUAUGAGAUGCGAUUAGCUCUCCUGAAAUAAAGGAGCUUAAUGUGGAAAGGCUAUAGCAGAACUGAUUUGCGUCAGAUGCUUCACCUGGGUUGAUGCAUCUUUAGCCUUAACUUCACGGAGUUGCUUUAACUUGGAACAGCUCGAAAAUAUGGUGGAAAAUAUUCUUGUUUCAUUUUUAUUUAUCUUAGCUCUUCUCCCAUUGUUCUCCUUGCUAUGUCUAUUCAUGUUUUUUUUUGAUCCACUGGUGGAAAUUUCUAAGAACACUAUAAAUUCUGGAUUAAUUGAUAUCAUGCACGGAUUUAAAGUGUCGUAGGUUAUCUUGUAACACAUAAUGAUAUGGUUCCACCAUGACAAGUUUCAUAUGGAGUUUUAUAUGCAUGGUUUUGUUUUAGAAUGAGAAAGAACAUAAGGAGGCAAACCUCUCUUUCAUUUGCUGCCUCCACCAAAUUUACUGUUAAGGAAGACACAAGUUUAUUGUUUCUCAAAGAUUCAAAGGAUAAAGGUCCUUCGGAUGUGUUUUUUUCUUUUCAUGUAAUUGACCCUUAGAAUUUUGAAGGGUAUUUUAGUCUUUAUGUAAUAUUUUAAAUUUGUAGGACGUUUAUUUAUUUAUUUAUCAGUGUAGACAUCUGUUGAGAGACAAAUUUUUAAUAGAUGGUAAUAUUUGUUAUUAUAUUUAAAAUCAAAAUCAAACUUGAGUUUAAGAAUUGUUGAAACCUCGUCAAUAAAAAAAUAUUCAAUUUUAGUUUGUCUUGUCAACAAAUUGAUGAAUUUUAUUACAUUCUGUUUCUGAGUUUUGAAGCGAAAAGAAAAGAAUAGAAAAUUUAAAUUAGAACAGAAAAGAAAAGAAUAGAAAACUUGGAAGUUUUCAUUUGUGUUGUUUCUUAAUUUUUAAUAGAAAAGAAUAUAAAUUUUAAAAUUUUUUUUUCUUGCGUUUUUGAGUUCUAAUGAAAAGAAAAGAAAAAUAUCACUUUUACAAAUUUACCCUUAUAUUAAUUAUAACCAUGAAUAAAAAUAUGCAAGAUAAAUUUAAUCAAAGAAAAAAAUUUCAUAAUUAAAUACAAAUAUCCAAAUAAAUGUUAAAUAAAAAUUACUUCUACAAAGUCAUUAUCAUACCAUACCCAAAAGUCAUCAAACAUAAUCUGUAUUAUUUAUACUAACGGAGAUUAUUUAUUAAAUUCUUCAAGAAAUUCAAUAUCCUCCCUAAUGGUAACCCAAAUAUUGCUCGCGCCUUGUCUUGAUUUUCUAGUAGCCAUAAAUAGGCUUCAUCGAUUUUUUUCUCAUCGAAAUUCAUUUCAAUAAGUCCUUUAAAGAUAUCAUUUGCAGAAUAGACUCGCACAUAUGAAUUGAUAAAUGUUUCUCCCUGUUUUUCAAAUGUCUCCCCUUGCUUUUCUAAUAUGGUAGCUAAUUUAUCAAUCACAUUAGUUAAUUUACCUUCAUCAUCAGAAUGUUUUGUCUUUUUCUUUUUUUCUUUUGAAGUACGUACACUUUCUGUCGGUACUUGAGAAGAGGCUUGAGAAUGAGUUGACAUAAAUUCGCCAAUAUCAUCCAAAUUGAAACUUUCUAAAAUUACUUCAUUUCAGGAUAUUGCACCAUCAAUUCCAACAAUUGUAAAUUCUUGCUCAACCAUGUCCUCCCAUUUUUUCGUUUCUCUUUUGCAGUUACUAAACCUUCCCCUGUUGCCCUAUCUUUAGCAAAUAAUUCUUCCAAGCGAUCAUAAUGGUAGAUCGCUUUAUCCCUCCAUAUAGCAGCUUUAGGCUUUGCCUAGUUAUAAAGACAUUAUUAUCAAAUAAAAGACAUUAUAUAUAUACCCACAAUUAUAUUGAACAAAAGUAAUUCAAUUAAAUUUAAAUAAAUACCUCUAUAAGGACUUUCCAUACUUCAGGUUCAGCAUCCCACUUUUUUGUUACUGGGCUCCAAGCAAAGCCGCUAAGUUCGAUUGAACAUUUAAACAAAUCAUAACACUUGGUAAAAUGAGAUUUGAGAGUCUUGUGGCAAUUAACCAAGUGACUUUUCUUCAAGUAUGGUAUACCAAGUUUUUCUAUCAAAUAUUUCAACAUAUUUGCAUAGGCAUGUGUCGUAAAAGUUCCAUCAGGUCUGUUCCCUUGUGCUUGCUCAUAAAACAUUGCCUCAAUGAACAAUUCAUCCAUUCUAUUUGUCCAUUUCAAAUUUUCUUUCUUUGAGGCUGGAAUUUCAUUUGUUGUUUUGGUCAUGUUUAUCCUAUACAAAUAAUCAUGAAAUUAAAAGAAGCAACACAUAUAUAUAAACAACACACAAAACAAUGGAUAAUUAAUAAAGUAAAAAACUUAAUCUCAUAUAAACAAUAAACAAAAUAUCAUUCUAGUUACGACACAAAUACUCGUCAAAUAACAUAAUAAAUUAAAAAACCAAACAUACUAUAAACUAGUUGUCAACAUGAAAUGAAACUCAAGAACUAUUAACUUCAUUUAUGUAAUCAAUCCACAUAUCAUUUGCAAUAGAAGUCCUUAAAUACUGAAGAUGCGUUGCAUCCUCAGUAACAUCUCUUACAUGAUCAUCAGGUUUAUGCAUUUGCUCUAGGAGCUCUCGAUCAACUUCGGCAAUAAGGUCAUCAUCAGGAUCAACAGACAUCAAGUAAUUAUGUAAAAUGCAACAUGCUAAAACAAUUUCAGAUUGAGUAUCCACAUCGUAUUUUGGCUCAGUUGUGCUCCCAAUAAUCGAAAAUCUUUUCUUUAGUACGCCAAAUGCUCUUUCAAUUGUAUUACGUAAUGAUACAUGACGUAGAUUAAAUAAUUCUCUAAGAUUUUCUGGAGGUUGAGCUGAGUACUCUUUUAAAUGGUAGCGAACACCUCUAUAAGGUGUCAUUAAUCCGUAGGUAAAUGGUAAUCUGGCAUCUACAAGAUAAUAUUUUCCUAGAAAAAUAUAAUAUUAGUUAUAUGUAAAACAAAGAAUUUUUUUAAUUAAAUCCUAAAAAGGUUGAUAAUGUAUUACCAUUGGAGAUUUUUAACUUAUCUUCUCUUACAAGGGCAUUUUUAAUUAUUCUGGAGUCAGAUGCCGUCCCUUCCUAACCAGUCAAAAUAUAAGUAAAUUUUAAGUCAAAUGUACAUACGGCUAAGACAUUUUGCGUAAGGUAGCCCUUCCUACCACGAUAUCUUGGUACAUCAGUGUGAGGAACUUUUACACGAACAAGAGAUCCGUCUAUUGCCCCUACACAAUCCUGGAAUUCACAGACAUGCACAUACCUUGUUAAAUAUAUAAAAAUGUGAAUUUUAACUUAUGUUAAGUUGUAAGUUUUACCUUAUAAUAUGGAUAAAAUCUACUAUUGUUGAGUACUUCUGAAGGUACGUGUGCUCCAUUUGGUUGUAUUAAAAGAAUUUCUUCCAAUGAAAAGAAAAGAAAAGAAUAGAAAAUUUAAAUUAAAACAGAAAAGAAAAGAAUAGAAAAUUUGAAGUUUUCAUUUGUGUUGUUUCUGAGUUUUUAAUAGAAAAGAAUAUAAAUUUUAAAAUUUUCUUUUCUUGCGUUUUUGAGUUCUAAUGAAAAGAAAAGAAAAAUAUUAUUUUUAUAAAUUUACCCUUAUAUUAAUUAUAACCAUUGAACCAUGAAUAAAAAUAUGCAAGAUAAAUUUAAUCAAAGAAAAAAUUUCAUAAUUAAAUACAAAUAUCCAAAUAAAUGUUAAACAAAAAUUACUUCUACAAAGUCAUUAUCAUACCAUACCCAAAAGUCAUCAAACAUAAUAUGUAUUAUUUAUACUAACGAAGAUUAUUCAUCAAAUUUUUCAAGAAAUUCAAUAUCCUCCCUAAUGAUAACCUAAACACUGCCCGUGCCUUGUCUUGAUUUUCUAAUAGCCAUAAAUAGGUUUCAUCGAUUUUUUCCUCAUCGAAAUUCAUUUCAUUAAGUCAUUUAAAGAUAUCAUUUACAGAAUAAACUCGCACAGAUGAAUUGAUAAAUGCUUCUCCCUAUUUUUCAAAUGUCUCCCCUUGCUUUUCUAAUAUGGUAGCUAAUUUAUCAAUCACAUUAGUUAAUUUACCUUCAUCAUCAGAAUGUUUUGUCUUUUUCUUUUUUUCUUUUGAAGUACGUACACUUUCUGUCGAUACUUGAGAAUGUUCUUGAGAAGAGGCUUGAGAAUGAGUUGACAUAAAUUCGCUAAUAUCAUCCAAAUUGAAACUUUCUAAAAUUACUUCAUUUCGGGAUAUUGCACCAUCAAUUCCAACAAUUGUAGAUUCUUGCUUAACCAUGUCCUCCCAUUUUUUUCGUUUAUCUUUUGCAGUUACUAAACCUUUCCCUGUUGCCCUAUCUUUAGCAAAUAAUUCUUCCAAGCGAUCAUAAUGGUAGAUCGUUUUAUCCCUCCAUAUAGCAGCUUUAGACUUUGCCUAGUUAUAAAGACAUUAUUAUCAAAUAAAAGACAUUAUAUAUAUACCCACAAUUAAAUUGAACAAAAAUAAUUCAAUUAAACUUAAAUAAAUACCUCGGUCUUUCCAUACUUCAGGUUCAGCAUCCCACUUUUUUGUUACUGGGCUCCAAGCAAAGCCACUAAGUUCGAUUGAACAUUUAAACAAGUCAUAACUAUGAGACUCCAAAUUUUAUGAAUAAAGAAUUAAAUUUCUCGAAAUAUUUUUUUUAAUAUUAUGGUGUAGAUUUGAUAUAAUGUUAUAGUUGUGGGUAAUAUUUAUAAAUUUUGCAAAGUAUGCAAGUUGUUCUAUAAUAUUCAAUUGGUCGAGGAAUAUUCUUUUUAUCGGGGAAUAUCCGUACGACGGUACAAUCAUCGGUGAACCCCACAACGGAAUUAUUGUCAGAUUGAGAAAACGACAAAAAUAUUUUUAUAAAAAUAACGGCGAAAGUGUUACCGUUAAAACUGUUGAACUACUCGGUAGUAAAAGUACAGUAAUACGCGUGGUUGCAUAGUAGCACACAAUAUUGAUUAUUGAUGUUUACGUAAGAAGUCACUCAGUUAUACUCAAUUACUGCUACAGUAAUUGCUGCAUCAUAUCUCUCAUAUUAUUGAUUCAAUUAUUGUCACAGUAUCAUCUGUAUAAUAUGUUAUAUUAUUAAAUCAAUAAUUGAGACGACAAAGUUAUUCAUAUUAUUAUUUUCAAUAUUGACAAUGUCUAGAAGUUCUGUCAAGGAGAGGUUUGGUCACCUAAUUGCGCGCCAAUAAGGAGAAAUCCUUAUCAGAAAGCCCCCUAUUUCCUGGGAACGACCUGGUAGUUAAAUAUUAUGAGUUAUAAUAUUAAUGAUGAAUAAGUUCGUAUUGAUUAAAGAUAAAAUUGAUAGUUCCAUUGUGUUGGAAUUAUUAGUGUUAGUAGAAAUCGACAUUUAUUUCGAUAAUAAUUGAUGUCUGGAGGUUAUAUUGACCAAUCGGGUAUUCGGGGCACUUUUCGUGUCAGAGUACUAUUCACGGGUUACUAUUCACCCGAUUACUAUUCACUAUUGUAUUGUUCACUCGGGUAUUUGGGACACUUUUCAUGUCGAGUACUAUUCACGGGCUAUUAUUCACUCUAGUAUUGUUCACUCGGGUAUUUGGGACACUUUUCGUGUCGGGGUACUAUUCACGGGAUACUAUUCCCGAAGUACUAUUCAUAGGGUACUAUUCACCCGAAAAAUAUAUUUCUUUUCGGUCCAAAUCAUUUUUGGGUACAAUAUUAUUCCAUUAAGAGAUGUGAUAAUUUUUUAUACCAUUGGUUGGAGUUAUAAUAGUAAAUCAAUAUGGAUCGUUGGUUGAAAAUAUAAUAGUAAAUCAAUAUGGACCGCUGGUGGAAAGUUAUAAUAGUAAAUCAAUAUGGAUCGCUGGUUUAAAGUUUUAAUAGUAAAUCAGUAUGGACCGUUGCUUUAAGUUUAAUAGUAAAUCAAUAUGGACCGUCCGUUUAAAAGUAAAUCAAUCUGGAUCGUUCAUGAAUUAGUUACUAUUCAGUCAAUUCUCCUAUAAAUAGAAGCUCAUUCCUUUAUUAUUUCUUACGAAUUCAUUGAAACUCUAGAGAGAGAAAGUAUAGAGAGAAAGAAGAAAAGUAUUCUGCUACUUCACUACUCCAAUAUCCAGUUUCUUCUAAGGUAAGGGGUAUUAUUUCUUUUGUAUUCAUGAAGAGAACUUCUGUUAUUCUAUUCUUUAUUAUUAUGUUGGAAUAACCUGUAUAUGCGAAGUACCACAUACAUGGUAAAAUUCUUCUGUUAUUCCAUUCUUAUUAUUCUGUUGGAAUAACCUGUUUAUGUGAAGUACCGCAUACAUGGUGAAAUUCUUCUAAUAUUCCGUUCUUUAUUAUUCUGUCGGAAUAUCCUGUCUGUGCGUUUACGUCGGACCUGGUUCCAUUAUUUAUUAUUCUGUUGGAAUAUCCUGUCUGUGCGUUUACGCGGACCUGGUUCCAUUAUUUAUUAUUCUGUCGAAAUAUCUUGUCUGUGCGUUUAUGCCGGACCUGGUUCUAUUAUUUAUUAUUCUGUUGGGAAUAACCUGUCUGUGCAGUCUAUCGCACGCAUGGUGAAUCCUUAUGUUAUUCCAUUCUUUAUUAUUCUGUUGGAAUANNNNNNNNNNNNNNNNNNNNNNNNNNNNNNNNNNNNNNNNNNNNNNNNNNNNNNNNNNNNNNNNNNNNNNNNNNNNNNNNNNNNNNNNNNNNNNNNNNNNUUUUUAAUUAUUCUGGAGUCAGAUGUCGUCCCUUCCCAACCAGUCAAAAUAUAAGUAAAUUUCAAGUCAAAUGUACAUGCGGCUAAGACAUUUUGCGUAGGGUAGCCCUUCCUACCACGAUAUCUUGGUACAUCAGUGUGAGGAACUUUUACACGAACAUGAGAUCCGUCUAUUGCUCCUACACAAUCCUGGAAUUCACAGACAUGCACAUACCUUGUUAAAUAUAUAAAAAUGUGAAUUUUAACUUAUGUUAAGUUGUAAGUUUUACCUUAUAAUAUGGAUAAAAUCUACUAUUGUUGAGUACUUCUGAAGGUACGUGUGCUCCAUUUGGUUGUAUUAAAAGAAUUUCUUCCAAUGAUAUUAUUGCUUUUAAGACUAUGAAAAUGACGACUUGUUGUUCCCGUUGAGCUGCGAAAGAAGAAUGUAAUUGAACGGUUUCUCACAUUAUGCGAUAAUAUUGUUGAAAAAUUAGCAAAAUUAACAAGAGUAAUUGCCAAAUAAAAUCAGAACAACUUAGCUGGAAACCGAAGAAAGCCGAGACGUAGCAAAUCUACUAUCCUAAAAAGUGAUUCCGCCCUCACUGAUUAUAACCUUCGGUACAGACGAGAUUCUUGGUGUUUACCCUCCAGGAUUCAACGACAAAGCCUUCAAUUGCGUGUACUCGCAGAAGAAAGUUAUAGACUUGUCUUUGUGGAUUGCCCAAUUAACAAUUUACAGAAGAUAGAAAAGCAGACUGUUAACAGAGGAGAAGAAGUAGUAUUAUGCACACUUCUCUGAAGAACCGAAGCAGUAUGUAUACAAGAAGAAGAACGUUAACGUUGGGAAUAAAACGGUAAAGAGAACGUUGGCAUUAAGUUGGGUUUUACGUUAACGAACGUUGGGAUUGGGAGUUACAGAAAACGUAAAUAAGGUUUAUGUUGGGAAUUAAUGAUGAAAACGGCUAGGGUAUUUAGGCUUAGUAUAAAAAAGAAAUAAAAGAUGCAAUUAGCUCUCCUGAAAUAAAGGAGCUUAAUGUGGAAAGGCUAUAGCAGAACUGAUUUGCGUCAAAUGUUUCACCUGGGUUACGGAGUUGCUUUAACUUGGAACAACUAGAAAAUAUGUUGGAAAAUAUUCUUGUUUCAUCUAUAUUUAUUUGAGCUCUUCUCCCAUUGUUCUCCUUACUAUGUCUAUUUAUGUUUUUUUUAUCCACUUCUGGUAGAAAUUUCUAACAUUAUAAAUUCUGGAUUAAUUGAUAUCAUGCACUGAUUUAAAGUGCCGUAGGUUAUCUUGUAACACAUAAUGAUAUGGUUCCUCCAUGACAAGUUUCAUAUGGAGUUUUAUAUGCAUGGUUUUGUUUUAGAAUGAGAAAGAACAUAAGGAGGCAAACCUCUCUUUCAUUUGCUGCCUCCACCAAAUUUACUGGUAAGGAAGACACAAGUUUAUUGUUUCUCAAAGAUUCAAAGGAUAAAG
rnacentral:lncRNA from 1 species